AGCUAGGCUGCCUUCUGACUCAUUACUGUUCUGCAGAAAGGCCCUGUGCUCCCUGCCCCUGCACUAAGGACCAAGGCAGAUCACACCCACAGCCACACCUCUGCGCUCACACCUGACUAAAGAAAGUGGGUAGUGGAUUGCUGCUGCCAUCGCCCUCAGGCUUCAUGACUCAAAGGGACACUGCUACAAGAUGCAUCCCACCAUCUGUAGAGCACUCCAUGUGCCCCUGGCUUCUUCCCAAGUUCAGCUCCCCAGAAAUAUACAUGAGGGAUUAAGAUAUUGCUGUUGUUUGCACCUUCACCAUCACCACUGGGACUUAAAAUCCUUCCACAAACUUUGUCUCUGGGUGGAGCAGCAUUCAUCUCCACAGGAUGGACACAGAAGAACAGACACUGACAUGCCUGAAUCUUGGGGGGCUGGCUUCAAGCAAGUAUGUGUCCUCAUGUUUGUGAAGACAAGUUUAAGAGAGGCUAAAAGCAAUCAGACAUAUCUUCCUAUCCAGCAGGCACAGCUUACCCUAAAACAGAAGAUACCUUCUGGCCAGGCUCAUGGGCUGUGGGAUAGGAAGGAAAA
rnacentral:lncRNA from 12 species